rnacentral:misc_RNA from 1 species
GAAAUGCGAUAAGUAGUGUGAAUUGCAAAAUUCAGUGAAUCAUCGAAUCUUUGAACGCACAUUGCGCCCCUUGGUAUUCCAUGGGGCAUGCCUGUUCGAGCGUCAUUUGUACCCUCAAGCUCUGCUUGGUGUUGGGUGUUUGUCCCCGUCUCCGCGCGUGGACUCGCCCCAAAGUGAUUGGCAGCCGGCGUACUGGUCCCGGAGCGCAGCACAUGUCGCGCAAACGAGUGCCUUGGUACGGCGGCGUCCAUAAGCCCCUCUCUCACGCUCUUGACCUCGGAUCAGGUAGGGAUACCCGCUGAACUUAAGC